GAUGAAGAACGUAGCGAAAUGCGAUAAGUAAUGUGAAUUGCAGAAUUCAGUGAAUCAUCGAGUCUUUGAACGCACAUUGCGCCCCCUGGUAUUCCGGGGGGCAUGCCUAUCCGAGCGUCAUUGCUGCCCUCAAGCACGGCUUGUGUGUUGGGCCCCCGUCCCCGGUUUCCCCCGGGGACGGGCCCGAAAGGCAGCGGCGGCACCGCGUCCGGUCCUCGAGCGUAUGGGGCUUUGUCACCCGCUCUGUAGGCCCGGCCGGCGCCAGCCGACACCCAACUUUAUUUCUAAGGUUGACCUCGGAUCAGGUAGGGAUACCCGCUGAACUUAAGCAUAUCAAUAAGCGGAGGA
rnacentral:misc_RNA from 1 species